CCCAAGCCCUUGAGAUCAAGCAGGCUCCACGUCGUGCAGGCCCCUUUGCAUGCACAGUUCCAUCACUUCCGUUCCCACUAUAUGAACGCCUCUUUCUCUCUUCUCUAGGGUUUUAUUUUGGUCUUCCAUUCGUCUAUAUACACCUACUGUGAGCCCUCAAAUCUCAUGCUUAUAUCGAUCAUCCUCUAUCUUAGAGUAAAUUGUCGCUGCACCACCUUCUCUUCUCCAAGAUAGGGUUGCCGUAGGUUAAGCCUUGUAAAACACCUCCUCCAUGUAGUAGCCACCAUCCCAAUGAACCUGGCCUGCACCUCCGUAAGCCACCAUGAUCCAUUUAGCCUUCCACCAUUGCACCUUGAAGUAUGGACCGAGAGAAAGCCACGAAAACUCAACCCAUGUGUCCCCUGUUUUUCUAUACCCAAAACAGAACCAUCCCUCGGGCCCCUUCUCAUGUUCCCCCCCCCCCACCCAAAAGCCCAAGCCCUUGAGAUCAAGCAGGCUCCACGUCGUGCAGGCCCCUUUGCAUGCACAGUUCCAUCACUUCCGUUCCCACUAUAUGAACGCCUCUUUCUCUCUUCUCUAGGGUUUUAUUUUGGUCUUCCAUUCGUCUAUAUACACCUACUGUGAGCCCUCAAAUCUCAUGCUUAUAUCGAUCAUCCUCUAUCUUAGAGUAAAUUGUCGCUGCACCACCUUCUCUUCUCCAAGAUAGGGUUGCCGUAGGUUAAGCCUUGUAAAACACCUCCUCCAUGUAGUAGCCACCAUCCCAAUGAACCUGGCCUGCACCUCCGUAAGCCACCAUGAUCCAUUUAGCCUUCCACCAUUGCACCUUGAAGUAUGGACCGAGAGAAAGCCACGAAAACUCAACCCAUGUGUCCCCUGUUUUUCUAUACCCAAAACAGAACCAUCCCUCGGGCCCCUUCUCAUGUUCCCCCCCCCCCCCAAAAAAAAAAAUCCAUCCAACCGUAAACCAAAAUCUCUUGCACCGUAGCCUAUUGCUCAGCCACCAUGUGACCUAGCCAAACCACCCAGCCCUCUCGUGUUCCAUCUCAAGCCAAGUCACAACGCCUGUUUUGCAUGCAUAAAAACAGAGCAUCGCAAAGCCAUCCUAAGCCCAUGGUUAAACCACCCUAGAAAAGCCACUGCACCUCCUCAUGGUCACCACCUCAGCGCACGAGACCCUACAGAAAGUACAGCAAAGAACUUUCCGGCACCCCCUGUCUGUUGCGUGUCACGGUGUAAAAUUGUGGCCUCUAUUCGGGUUGGUAUCAACUUUUUUGUUUCCAGUGCACCCACUUUGGAAGUUAAGUGGUUUUUCGCGUGAUCUUUCCUAUGUGUACACUCGAGGCUCCAAGAAUAAAUGAAGGGAAGAUUCACAUUCUGUUUUUGCUCGGUUAGUUAUUGAGUUUUGCACAAUCCUACCAUGGGGGUUAAAUAUGGUUUCUGUUCUGAUAUGAUAUGAUAAAAUGAAGAUGUUCAGUUACACUAUGUCAAAAGAACUUUGAAUAAAAAUAUUUUUCUUAAAAUUUCGCUCUAAUAUUUUUGAUAACA